rnacentral:misc_RNA from 1 species
ACAUUGCAAGCUGCAGCAGACACGGUAUGAGCAACAACCUAGAUUCUGUAUACUCUUUGUCUUUUACUUGCUUGUCUUUCCUUGAUUUUGAUGUUGUUAGUUGGCCUUCCAUAACCUAGUCAGGUUAAACAUUAAGGAAUUGAAUUCAUCAUGAAAUAUGAUAUAUCUUUUUGUGACUUCAAAAUCAGAUAACACUUGUGUAAUUAUAGCCCUAUUGCUGGGCCUGGUACCUAAAUUAUAUUUUCCAAUGGGAUUCUUUUAAGCUGUUUGCGUUGAUAAUGCUUAUUAAGCCUGCAUUAUAUUAAUUCAAAUGGGCUAAUAGCCUAAAACUGAGUGGUGGAGUGCUGCAAUCCUAGAUGGGAAGCUAUUUUCAGUCUGUCUUUGUCCCUUUUGUAUCUUCUGCUUAGAAAGCUUACUUUUCUUCAUUAGUUCAUCCAAGGUUCUGAUCAGAGCUUCUAAAACAAUGUUUCUUCAAUCAAUGCAUCCCAAUCCAUCUGGAGAUGUGAUACCUUUUAUGAUUAGUUUUUACUUUUUUAGUUUAUCUGUAUUUUUGUUACUUUUACUAUUAGAUGAGCCAUUGCUGAUUCAACC